rnacentral:rRNA from 1 species
CAAUAAGCGGAGGAAAAGAAACCAACAGGGAUUGCCCCAGUAACGGCGAGUGAAGCGGCAACAGCUCAAAUUUGAAAUCUGGCCCUCGGGUCCGAGUUGUAAUUUGGAGAGGAUGCUUUUGGCGCGGCGCCGUCCGAGUUCCUUGGAACAGGACGCCAUAGAGGGUGAGAGCCCCGUACGGGCGGCCGCCUAGCCUUUGUAAAGCUCCUUCGACGAGUCGAGUAGUUUGGGAAUGCUGCUCAAAAUGGGAGGUAAAUUUCUUCUAAAGCUAAAUACCGGCCAGAGACCGAUAGCGCACAAGUAGAGUGAUCGAAAGAUGAAAAGCACUUUGAAAAGAGGGUUAAAAAGUACGUGAAAUUGUUGAAAGGGAAGCGCCUGUGACCAGACUUGCGGCCCGUGGAUCAUCCGGUGUUCUUCACCGGUGCACUCCGCGGGCGGCAGGCCAGCAUCGGUUUUCCCGGGGGGACAAAGGUCGCGGGAACGUAGCUCCCUCGGGAGUGUUAUAGCCCGCGGCGUCAUGCCUCUGGGGGGACCGAGG